AAAGCCUGAUGCAGAUGCUUGAAUGUGAUUUUGUUAUGAUGGAAUGCAGCUUAUUCAGCAGUCCUGCAAUGAUUAAGGUUUUUGUUGCUGCUUACUCAUUUCACCAUUUUUGGUUUUCGGUUUGAGCCACACUGAUGAACAUUGCAUUAGAAGUGAGGAGAAGUGUUCCCUGCACAUCUCAACUAAUGCGUAUCAUUGAUCAAGGCAGUCUAGUUCUUCUGUGGAGGAUCGGAUGCAGGUGACUGAGCCUGAAAAGGAAUAGAUGUGGAAGAUCAGAUAAAGAAUAGUCCAGCAAGUGGGACGCGGCCUGAGAUUCAAGAGCCCUGGUUUCAGUUUACUGCUGUGCUGUCACUUCCUCUGUGACCUUAGGGCUGGAUCUGCAGACCGUCUUGGUAUGUUGUAACCUGCGUGAUGUGAGAUCCACAGUUCUGAGAAUUUCAGGAUUCAAUUCAAACCUGUGGGAUUUAAAGCUAAUCAAAUGAAAAAUCAAGCCAGGGAUUGAUACCUUAAAGGCUGGAUCUGCAACACACGAGGAUUGUGAGAGAAGCAAGUAAAGGAAGAAGAGCUUUGCCCAGGUUAUGCUGGAGAGGUGUAAGAUGCCUAACUCAGCUUCUCAUAUAAAACAGAAAAAUAAGAGACCUCCAGAUGGCUGAGGAAUUGGUAGCUGAAAGACUGCUGGGCAGCCCACAAUAUAAAGUAAAUACCAUAUCAACCUACUAAUGGUACCUAUGCAAAUACUUUUUGACGCAAGAAUACCCAAAGAAUUGGAUACAUCAGCUCUUGCCAGACAACAGGUUACUGAAGAUGAAUAAUAGAUGUUCCAUGCUUCCAGCUUUCCUUUUUUUGCCAUCAUUAAUUUUCUGCUAGAUUAGGCAGCCUCCUCUGUUACCUGGUCUUCAGGCUGGCCCUGCAUCCAAGUGGCUGGUCUGUGCAGUCUUCUCAGUUUAUGAUGAAAAGCAGAGAAUUGACAAGUUUGAUUAUCAGGAAAACCAAGGAAAUCAUUUCAGAUGGCCUUUGUGCUGAGAGGUCCACAGAAUCCGCAUCUGGAUUUGGAAAUCAUGGUCCAAGCUUACUCACGUGCACACUUCUCAUGGACUUUGACUUCACUGUGACUUUUAGAGAGUAUACUAGACCCAUUACAACUGAAGCUGUUGCAAGUUAUUGCAAGAUUAAUACCAACACACACAUUUUUGGAUAUUUAAUGGAGAAACAGAGAAAUGAAUUACAAGGCUUCCUGUGAGUUCUUGAGUAACAGUCAAGAAAACCAUUUCAGUCUGUCAAGGAAGAGAGGAUAAAACUGAAGUGGAGUCCUACCCGAGAAAGUACAAAAUCGCAAAUUUUGAAAUAUUAC